AGAGUUUGAUCCUGGCUCAGGAUGAACGCUGGCGGCGUGCCUAAUACAUGCAAGUCGAACGCACAGCGAAAGGUGCUUGCACCUUUCAAGUGAGUGGCGAACGGGUGAGUAACACGUGGACAACCUGCCUCAAGGCUGGGGAUAACAUUUGGAAACAGAUGCUAAUACCGAAUAAAACUUAGUGUCGCAUGACACAAAGUUAAAAGGCGCUUCGGCGUCACCUAGAGAUGGAUCCGCGGUGCAUUAGUUAGUUGGUGGGGUAAAGGCCUACCAAGACAAUGAUGCAUAGCCGAGUUGAGAGACUGAUCGGCCACAUUGGGACUGAGACACGGCCCAAACUCCUACGGGAGGCUGCAGUAGGGAAUCUUCCACAAUGGGCGAAAGCCUGAUGGAGCAACGCCGCGUGUGUGAUGAAGGCUUUCGGGUCGUAAAGCACUGUUGUAUGGGGAAGAACAGCUAGAAUAGGGAAAUGAUUUUAGUUUGACGGUACCAUACCAGAAAGGGACGGCUAAAUACGUGCCAGCAGCCGCGGUAAUAC
rnacentral:rRNA from 1 species